rnacentral:lncRNA from 1 species
GUACUCGUCCACCUUCUCCUUGAUUCUGGAGGAGUGAGUAGGGGAGACAGAGAGUCGGUUGAGUGUGGACUCAUGUGAGCAGACUGGAUCUCAAAGUGGUUGUUUGCGCGGGCGUGGAUGCAUACGCAUAUGCGGUUUUUAAGUUGAUUUGUAGUGCUGAAUGCAUGUAAUCAAAUCGUGGCCUAUUCUACGGAGUGUUAUUUUAUGCGUCCUGCUCCCUUAGGUGCUUACUCUCCUUACGCCUCUAACGUGACUUCUCCGUUUGUCUUCAAUUUCUUCGGCAUUUGCGCGUCUCCAACAGUGUCACGCCGGCCUCGGCUCUUAGACAGGAUUGGGAGCAACAUCCUGGCGAAGAAGGCAGAGAAAAAAGCGUUCUUUUCUCAGCUCUCCUGGACCUGCCAGAAGGAAAAACGUCGCGUCUUCCAUCAGACCUUCGAAGCAUACUACGCAUGCACCGGAAAGUCUUAGAGAAAUGAGAAUCGCGGCUCCAAGAUACUAAAUGUAAUGCCUGUAUGGCUGAACAUGUAUACAUACAUUAUGUAUAUAUAUGUAUAUAUGAGUGGUUAUAUGCAAAUACAUUUACGUGUGGAUACCCAUGCUUUCACAGGCUCACAAACGAGGCGGCAAGUAGGCCUAUAUGUACAUGUCUAUGUAUACAAAUAAUCCUGUUUAGGCGUGUAGAGAGACAGAGAAACUCGUGUACAAAUGAUACACCUGGGCCAGUUGUUGGGUCUUACGGCUUUAUUGUCGAGGACGCGUUGAGUCGACUGCUCGGAGAAUGGCGAGGAGAACAGCAUUCAUCCUUCACAGAACCAGUGCACAUGCAUCAGUGAGAAGGAUUGAAGAGGUUUGCAUGCCCUGUCAUGCAGGUGCGACAUGACCAGCAAGCCCCGCCACACAGAGAAGGACUUUUCGUCUUCUCGAGCGUAUGUUCUGGUUUCGUCUGCCACUGUGAAUGAGAACAUCCGACAGGAAACAUGUGGACUGAUACAGAAUCGUUCAGGAAAGUGUUUGGAACUGCGUUAGGGCGCAGGUUUGUGUCAUUGCGUAUAGUCUAGCUGUCGUGUUAUAUCACUAUAUAGGGAUACGCAUGCUUCUUCGCACAGGAGCUGGCAGGAAUAUCGUUCCUUCUCUGCCUCAAACGUACUUCGAGAGUCGUUAUAUUAUUUCCGCGGUUGCUGCAAAGGC